UACGGGGGGGGCAAGCGUUGUUCGGAAUUACUGGGCGUAAAGGGCUCGUAGGCGGCCAACUAAGUCGGAUGUGAAAUCCCCAGGCUCAACUUGGGAACUGCAUCCGAUACUGGAUGGCUUGAAUUCGGGAGAGGGAUGCAGAAUUCCAGGUGUAGCGGUGAAAUGCGUAGAUAUCUGGAGGAAUACCGGUGGCGAAGGCGGCAUCCUGGACCGGCAUUGACGCUGAGGAGCGAAAGCUAGGGGAGCAAACGGG
rnacentral:rRNA from 1 species